UCAGAGCAAUUACAUGACAGUUGAAACAUUAGAAUUUUUAAAUUGCCCAUAGUCCUAUAUCCCUAACAAGUAUGUUCAUGCUUGCAUGUUCUCUUCUCAUCUUUACUGUGUGCAUACUUUCUUAGUAAUGGCACGUAGAAACUAUUCAAGCAGGAAUAAUUCUUAUGAUGAUUUUUUCUGUUUCCUUUUUUCUUUUCAAGGUAUGUACUGGGUGGAGGAACAUUAUGUAUGGAACUUCUCACAAAACAGGGCUGAAGCAGUGCCUACUCAAUAGAACCGGUCAUCGUGCAAAGAAAUGCCACCUGACUCAAAGGCAAAGCCAGAGUGCAGCUUGGAGCAAAGAAGGUACUUUUAUUAAGAAUUUUAAAGAAACCAGAAGAGAUGCUUUAUAUUUGUGAGCCUUCUUCCUGUCUUAAUUCUUUUUGAGAGAAUUCAUUUCAUUUUCAUUUAUUUUUUUUUCUUCUUGUUAUAAAGAUGAUCUAUAGAAAAUAUAGAAGUAUAAGAAAAUUAAAGAUACUGAUAAUCACUUAAUGAUUUAGUAUCUGCUUGUUUAGUCUUUGUUAUAUUUACUGUAGGCAAACAUGGCUACAGUUGUAAAUUUGUUAUUGCUUUGUAUACC
ensembl:lincRNA